rnacentral:rRNA from 1 species
CGAGAAGGUACCUUCGGGUACUGGAGAGUGGCGCACGGGUGAGUAACGCGUGGGGACCUACCUCUUAGUGGGGGAUAACGGUUGGAAACGACCGCUAAUACCGCAUACGCCCUUCGGGGGAAAGAUUUAUCGCUAAGAGAUGGACCCGCGUUGGAUUAGAUAGUUGGUGAGGUAACGGCUCACCAAGUCAGCGAUCCAUAGCUGGUUUGAGAGGAUGAUCAGCCACACUGGGACUGAGACACGGCCCAGACUCCUACGGGAGGCAGCAGUGGGGAAUAUUGCACAAUGGGGGCAACCCUGAUGCAGCCAUGCCGCGUGUGUGAAGAAGGCCUUCGGGUUGUAAAGCACUUUCAGUUGUGAGGAAAGGUUGAUGGUUAAUACCCAUCAGCUGUGACGUUAGCAACAGAAGAAGCACCGGCUAACUCCGUGCCAGCAGCCGCGGUAAUACGGAGGGUGCGAGCGUUAAUCGGAAUUACUGGGCGUAAAGCGCACGCAGGCGGUUAUAUAAGCUAGAUGUGAAAGCCCCGGGCUCAACCUGGGAAUAGCAUUUAGAACUGUAUGACUAGAGUCUUGGAGAGGGGAGUGGAAUUCCAGGUGUAGCGGUGAAAUGCGUAGA